CAUUUUUACACUUUGGAAUUUGAUUGUCUUUAAUUACAUGUAUUUACUACUUGUGGGCUUUGCUGGUAUUUUAAGACAUUGCCCCUUUUAGCUGGUUGCCCCUAACAACCAAAUUGCCCAAUCCAACGGCACGGGAAAUUGGAGCAUUAGGACUGCACGUUUAGAAGGGUUGACAGAGUGAAUCAACAGGGUAGAGAAGGAGAGGGUCGAGAGGGGAAAAUGAUAGGCUUUGCCAGGAGUGGGGAAGAAUCUACAGGCUUUGCCGAGAGCGACCGGGUGGACGCACGCAGGCUGGGAAGGAACCCCCAGACCACAAAGUAGACCCCGCAGGCUACCAGAACGAACCCCAAGACGUCCACAACAGGCAGGGGCAGAGGAAACUCUGCCGCCCAAGUAAGUGCAGGGUGUUGUGGAUCUGUGGGGACACCCAACUGCCUUUGGCUGUGGGCUUGCGGGCUCGUGCGUCGUACGUUGGCUGUGUGGUUCUGUGGACAGGGGGGCGAUUUGGACCCAGGGACCAGCGGCGACCCCUCGAAGUGACCAGGAGGCGGAGCGGGACGGGUACGGCCAUGUAGGUCCCGCGAGUGACCGGAGACUGGCGAGGAGAGUGGGCGUACCCAAGACGUUGACACAGAACUACAGCAAAGGCAGGGGAAAGCCAGCCUUGCGUGAAGAUGCCGUGGGAGUGGGCGGAGCCAAGAUACGGACCCACACGCCUGACUGUACCCUCACCCAUCACAUUUGUUACCAUUUGGUAUUUUAGUGUCGACAACGCGACUGUUUUUUAAUUGUAUUUUAAUAAAUUGUGAACCAGUUUAA